CGUAGGUUGCAAGCGUUGUCCGGAUUUACUGGGUGUAAAGGGCGUGUAGGCGGAGAUGCAAGUCAGGAGUGAAAUCCCGGGGCUCAACCCCGGAACUGCUUUUGAAACUGUAUCCCUUGAGUGUCGGAGAGGCAAGCGGAAUUCCUAGUGUAGCGGUGAAAUGCGUAGAUAUUAGGAGGAACACCAGUGGCGAAGGCGGCUUGCUGGACGAUAACUGACGCUGAGGCGCGAAAGCGUGGGGAGCAAACAGGAUU
rnacentral:rRNA from 1 species